rnacentral:rRNA from 1 species
UACGUAGGGCGCAAGCGUUGUCCGGAAUCAUUGGGCGUAAAGAGCUCGUAGGCGGCCUGUUGCGUCCGCUGUGAAAUCCCGGGGCUUAACCCCGGGCGUGCAGUGGAUACGGGCUGGCUGGAGGCAGGCAGGGGAGAACGGAAUUCCCGGUGUAGCGGUGAAAUGCGCAGAUAUCGGGAGGAACACCGGUGGCGAAGGCGGUUCUCUGGGCCUGUACUGACGCUGAGGAGCGCAAGCGUGGGGAGCGAACAGG